GAUGAACGCUGGCGGCGUGCUUAACACAUGCAAGUCGAACGGUGAACACGGAGCUUGCUCUGUGGGAUCAGUGGCGAACGGGUGAGUAACACGUGAGCAACCUGCCCCUGACUCUGGGAUAAGCGCUGGAAACGGCGUCUAAUACUGGAUAUGUGACGUGACCGCAUGGUCUGCGUUUUGAAAGAUUUUUCGGUUGGGGAUGGGCUCGCGGCCUAUCAGCUUGUUGGUGAGGUAAUGGCUCACCAAGGCGUCGACGGGUAGCCGGCCUGAGAGGGUGACCGGCCACACUGGGAUUGAGACACGGCCCAGACUCCUACGGGAGGCAGCAGUGGGGAAUAUUGCACAAUGGGCGAAAGCCUGAUGCAGCAACGCCGCGUGAGGGAUGACGGCCUUCGGGUUGUAAACCUUUUUUAGCAGGGAAGAAGCGAAAGUGACGGUACCUGCAGAAAAAGCGCCGGCUAACUACGUG
rnacentral:rRNA from 1 species